rnacentral:tRNA from 1 species
CGAUAGCUCAGCAGGAUAGAGCGUCGGAUUCCUAAUCCGAAGGUCAGAGGUUCGAAUCCUCUUCGGG